GAUGAACGUUGGCGGCGUGCCUAACACAUGCAAGUCGAACGAAAGUAGCAAUACUUUAGUGGCGCACGGGUGAGUAACACGUAGCUUACCUCCCUCUCAGCGCGGGAUAACGACUCGAAAGAGUUGCUAAUACCGCAUAAGCUCACGGGUUCUAGAGACUUGUGAGAAAAGGUGCAAAUCACUGAGAGACGGGGCUGCGGCCCAUCAGCUAGUUGGCGCGGUAAAGGCGCACCAAGGCGACGAC
rnacentral:rRNA from 1 species